AAUGCUGAAAGCAUCUAAGCAUGAAGCCCCCCUCAAGAUGAGAUUUCCCAUAGCGUAAGCUAGUAAGAUCCCCUGAAAGAUGAUCAGGUUGAUAGGUUCGAGGUGGAAGCAUGGUGACAUGUGGAGCUGACGAAUACUAAUAGAUCGAGGACUUAACCAUAUAA
rnacentral:rRNA from 1 species